CCAGACUCCUACGGGAGGCAGCAGUGGGGAAUAUUGCACAAUGGGGGGAACCCUGAUGCAGCAAUGACGCGUGGGUGAAGAAGCACUCCGGUGCGUAAAGCCCUGUCAGCAGGGAAGAAAAUGACAGUACCUGACCAAGAAGCCCCGGCUAACUACGUGCCAGCAGCCGCGGUAAUACGUAGGGGGCAAGCGUUAUCCGGAUUUACUGGGUGUAAAGGGAGCGUAGACGGCAUGGCAAGUCUGAAGUGGAAGCCCGGGGCUCAACCGCGGGACUGCUUUGGAAACUGUUAAGCUGGAGUGCAGGAGAGGUAAGUGGAAUUCCUAGUGUAGCGGUGAAAUGCGUAGAUAUUAGGAGGAACACCAGUGGCGAAGGCGGCUUACUGGACUGUAACUGACGUUGAGGCUCGAAAGCGUGGGGAGCAACCAGGAUUAGAUACCCC
rnacentral:rRNA from 1 species